ACCGUAUCUUCUCUUGGUAUUGUUCACUCAGAACUUUUUGUCUUGACAUAGAUGGUUGAAGCAGUAGGUCAUGAAUUCAUGGAUGAGUUUUUCAGCUGCUGUGAUUCAGUUCUGGCUGAAGAUGGCAUAUUUGUGCUCCAGUUCAGCAGUAUUCCCGAUCAACGCUACGAUGAAUACAGGAGAAGCUCUGACUUCCUCAAGGAGUACAUGUUUCGUGAGCUAUGUGUUCCUAGUUUGAGCAGAAUAACAACAGCUAUGAAUAUGAUGACUUCAUCUUAAUUCUGGUAACAAGUUUUUGUGUAUAUAGCGAUUUCCAUAUCCUUUUGGGUUU